UGGAAAGAAUGGAUCGUUUACUUUUUGUGCAUGUGAUAAAAUUAAUUCAUGUUGACACAGAAACUAGCUUGUGUUCCUCAGACCACGCUGAUUGAGCUAUUGGUGCAUGAAAAUUUACUUAGAAACACAAUCAGACCUCAGUGAAAUGCAUAAUUGGUUAGGACAUGUGGGAGCAAGAUUUUUGAGUGAAGGCAUUAAAACAAAUUCAGUUCGCAUCAGAGUUUCAUCACAUACAAGGCUGGGUAAUCUGGGUUCCACUGUAGUGGAUGAUUGCUUUCCUCAAAAUUUUAUAGGCUCAAUGGCUUUGUUAAUCUUUGAAAGGAUCAUUUGAGUUCCUGAAGUUGAAGCUGCAUUCAUCAAACUUUGAA